GUUUCUGUCCCCUUUCUCUGGCCAACCUGAGGAUUUCAGAAAAGGUUUCUCUAAGCUUCACUUCUUACUCUGCCUGCCUAGCUGAUGGUCCUGAAGAAGUAGACUUGGGCAGAUAAUUUGUCUAAGAUCAAGCAGAAAGGCCUUGGAAAUAGGGACACCAGACCUAUUUCAUUGACAUUCCCUCCUUUUUCAGAACUGGGGCCACGUUUUCAAAACUGAGACUGUCUCUCAUCUCAGUAGACAUCCUACAGAUUGCCCGUAAACGUGAGUGUCACUGAUGGCUGCCUUGGCUUCGAGUUGAAGAGUUCUCUUGGGAAAACGGCUACAGGGAUGUUUCGGACUGCAUGCUGUCCUCCGAGGCUUCCGCCUGCAGCCUUACCUGAGUUCUUCAUCUCCUGACCACCUUCUGAGUCCCCCAGAGUGUCCUGAGGCAGAAGGCCCAGACUGCUGCUAGCAGUUCUCACCAGCAGCGCCUCAGC
rnacentral:lncRNA from 1 species